UGAAUUUUUUCAAUAAGGCAACAAUAAAUAACUACUUUCCUUUCUUACAAAAAGCACUGAUCCUAAACAUGGACUGAUUGAACCUUAUCAGCACUGCCAAAUAUCCCUUCGAUCGUUCUUAACCCUUAAAUCCCACAACAUCCUGUUUUACAAGGGAGAUUCUUUCUGCUUGGUGCAGACUCAGAGAGACCACCAGGUCUUCCCCACAGGGCAUGCACUGGCCCCUUCUGAGAUGGUGCAAAGUCCUAUACAGUGAGUCAUUACAGGAGUUGAGCUCUGUGAAGGUAUUCUUGCCUCCUUUAAAAGACAAAUACAAUCAGGAUGCGGGAUGGGAAAAUCCUGGCUGCUUUGUCCCUUGUCUGGACAGCCUCUCACUUUCCCACAACAGGUAGACACAAGCACAGACUGCUGCUGGAGGCUCCAGACCUUGCCAAGAGGCUCAAACCCACCAGUAUCUGUGGUUGUCCUAGGCAAACCCAUUUUCUAUGGAUCCUGGCAGUGUGCCAGAGCCUAAUUAAGACACAAAGAAUGCCAGAUGGUUAACCCUCUCUGCACCCACAUACAGUUAUUAGUAAAGCCCUCUGAUAUGCUUUCAUUUUUCCUUGAAAUAAAAAUAUGUAUCAGACUGUUCACAUGUACAAAAGAGUGAGUAUAAUAGGUGUGUGUGUUCAGGUCACAGCAAGCAAGUAUUUACUGCCAGCACUCAAUGUAAAGAGGAAACUUCAAUUACCAAUUGCCAAGGCUAGUGUUCAGAAAACUCUCCAACACAGGUAGGUAUGUGAGUAGUUUUAUUAGGGCUUAGAGAAAGAUGAAAAAUAACUCUAAAUUCAGUCGUUCUUAAUCUUCAGGAAAAAUAUUUUCCACUACAAGAAAGAAGAAUUUGUGUGCUAUGGAUUCUUUUUACCAUACGAACAAAACAUUAUAGAGCUUUUGAAAUUCUCAAAGCCAUUGCUGUUCAAUUUAAAAAAGGAAAAGAAAACCCUCUUUAAAAAGAUCUAGGUGCAUUAUCUUUUACCAAAUGAAAAGAUCAAACAUAAGCUCUUAUUUGUAAGCAAAGCAAUGGUGUCUCUGGGACCUUUCUCAGAUCAACAGCAAUGAGGUUGAAUGAGGGGAAGCAGCGACAAUGGUCGAAAUGGGUGAAAGGAAGCUCUCUGUUGAGGCCAGCCUUCCUUGAUUGCAAUCUCAGUCCCAGGACCUAUACCUAUGUUUAACUACUAUAUCCUGAAUAAAAAGUUAGUUAUACUCUAAUGAGAAGCAUGUGAAGUUGCAUGAGGAGAGGAAUACAAGAAACCUAAUUGAGCACAUCUAAUCUGAUAUCAGAGAUCUCUGUUUGAAGGUAAUUUAAGAAUAUUUAAGUUGGCAUUCAGGAGAAAUGCAGGGAAUCGAUUAGUCAGGCUAAUGUUUUUCUCUUUUUGACAAUAGAACAUCUCACUCCACCUAGCACAUAAUUAAGUCAUCUUUUUUCAUCCUAUAUUCUCUAGCAACAGACACCUGCUACAGAAGUUCAAUUUCCAACUUCCUGUUAACAUUGAUGCAAUUUUCAAUGGACCAAAGUGUAUUUUUGGCUAACCAAGGGCCCAGUUCAUCCUCUCAUUUUAUCUUAACAGUUUUCUCCAUUCUUUGUGUGUAUCAAUUACUUGCCCUUAUAACUUCUAUUUCAUUGUGGGAAAACAGAACCUCAGUUCACGGCUUUUUCUAAAACUAUCCUGGACACACAGGAAUAUUCCUGUCUAGUAAUAACGGAAAAUUUCACACCUAAAAAAACAUGCAAUAUGGCCCACAAACAAAAGGGUGACUUAAUUAAUUGCUGGCCAAGAGCCGCAUUCUUUCCAAAUCAGGGCUGCUGCAAGAUGACAUAUGGUUUGUUAUUUCUUACAAAUAUGAAAAGCCUUUUGAAGGAAUUAUACUUGGUAUCUGUCAAAAUAAUUUCAUAUAUGAAACAGCAGCACUAAAAAAUGAAAGUAUUAUUUUUUAAUGAAGAAAAAAUUUUCAUUUAAAGGAUUUGAAGGCAGCUUUCAUUUCUAAUGAUUUGUAGUGCCGGCACACCAUCUGCAUAGAUAUUACCUUAAUUCCACCUAGUGUUCCAUGUUCCAUGCACAAGAUGCCAACUUUACCUUAACAUAGAGUAUUAUUUUUAAAGUGAAAGACACAGUUCUUCAUUAUUGGCCACGUUUGCAAAGGUAGAAUAUAUUUAACAUUUACAUGUAUCACAUUUACUGUAUUAAAGUCAAUCACUAUGCCAUUUAUUCAAAGUUGUGCUUGUAGUAAGGAUGGUAUUAAAACAAAAAUAUUUAACAGUUUUAUGUGCUUCAUCAUCACAUCUCCAGGACCUCGAAUACUGAAGAGUCAUUCUUUAAAUGACCACUACAAGCUCUAAGAGCCUAGAACAACCAGCCCUUGCUCACUCAGAAG